rnacentral:rRNA from 1 species
UUCGGGGCUUUCUGCAAGGUGCUGCAUGGUGUCGUCAGCUCGUGCCGUGAGGUGUCGGGUUAAGUCCCAUAACGAGCGCAACCCUUACCCUUAGUUGUUUCCCGAAAGGAUUACCCUCUAAGGGGACUGCCCGGACAACGGGGAGGAAGGUGGGGAUGACGUCAAGUCCGCAUGCUCCUUACGUCUAGGGCUACACACGUCCUACAAUGGGGUCGACAGUGGGAUGCAAAGCCGCGAGGUGGAGCCAAUCCCCAAACGGCCUCUCAGUUCGGAUAGUAGUCUGCAACUCGACUACUUGAAGUCGGAAUCGCUAGUAAUCGCAGAUCAGCAUGCUGCGGUGAAUACGUUCCCGGGUCUU